rnacentral:rRNA from 1 species
AGCCAAGUCGUGAGGCGGAGCUAAUCCCUUAAAGCCAUUCUCAGUUCGGAUUGUAGGCUGAAACUCGCCUACAUGAAGCUGGAGUUACUAGUAAUCGCAGAUCAGAAUGCUGCGGUGAAUGCGUUCCCGGGUCUUGUACACACCGCCCGUCACACCACGGAAGUUGGGGGCGCCCGAAGCCACUUAGCUAACCCUUUUGGGAAGCGAGUAUCGAAGGUGAAAUCAAUAACUGGGGUGAAGUCGUAACAAGGUAUC